rfam:Aspergillus wentii DTO 134E9 unplaced genomic scaffold ASPWEscaffold_3, whole genome shotgun sequence.
GACACUUUGGCCGAGUGGUCUAAGGCGCAGGCCUGCUAUUAGGGUUACUUAGUAACCAAUACAGCCUGUAUCUUCGGAUGCGUGUGUUCGAAUCACACAGGUGUCG